rnacentral:rRNA from 1 species
UACGUAGGGACCGAGCGUUGCCCGGAUUCAUUGGGCGUAAAGAGCUCGUAGGCGGCUGCUCAAGUCGAAUGUGAAAACUCGAGGCUCAACCUCGAGCCUGCAUUCGAUACUGGGCGGCUAGAGUCUGGUAGGGGGAUCUGGAAUUCCUGGUGUAGCGGUGGAAUGCGCAGAUAUCAGGAGGAACACCCGUGGCGAAAGCGGCUCUCUGGAACGGUACUGACGCUGAGACGCGAAAGCGUGGGGAGCGAACAGG